rnacentral:lncRNA from 1 species
GCAAAGAGUGUGAGUUAAUUAAUUGAGCCUCAAAUACUGAGCAUUAAUUUAUUUAAUGAGCACUGACAUCCUGAGGUGUAAAAGACAUUACAUCUUGUUCCAUUGCUUCAGCUUGUUAAGCAGCUUUUAGAAAUGGUCAUUUGCUUAAAUACUAAGCCUUUUUUCAGGUUCAUAAAAUUAGUAACAUGGAAUUCACAAGCCUCCUUAAUAUUAGUUUCUUUUGAAAGACAUUACAAUAGUAAUUUAUUGUCACUGGCUUCUCAAAGUUUCAACCCUCUCAGGUUCCCUAAAUGUUUCCACCUGGAAGGCUCUUAAACUUAGGUUUACCGUAGCUCUCAUCAAAUAGAAAUGUUUCUCUAACUUGAGUGAUGAUCUGAAACAGAUUUCCAAAGAGUCAGAGGACUUCAUUGUGGAGCAAUAUAAACAUCUCCGCCAGAGAGAUGGUUCUGGAGUGACCAAGUCUUCAUGGAGGAUUACAGUGCGACAGCUUGAGAGCAUGAUUCGUCUCUCUGAAGCUAUGGCUCGGAUGCACUGCUGUGAUGAGGUCCAACCUAAACAUGUGAAGGAAGCUUUCCGG